AGGAUGAACGCUGGCGGUGUGCCUAAUACAUGCAAGUCGAACGGGAUCUUCGGAUCUAGUGGCGGACGGGUGAGUAACACGUUGGUACCUACCCCUAAGUGAGGAAUAACUGCCCGAAAGGGUGGCUAAUACCGCAUAAUCCCGCAAGGGUAAAGCAGUAAUGCGCUUAGGGAGGGGCCUGCGUCUGAUUAGCUAGUUGGUAGGGUAAUGGCCUACCAAGGCGACGAUCAGUAGCUGGAUCGAGAGGUUGACCAGCCACACUGGGACUGAGAUACGGCCCAGACUCCGUACGGGAGGCAGCAGUAAGGAUCUUCCACAAUGGAC
rnacentral:rRNA from 1 species